AGCAGCCGCGGUAAUUCCAGCUCCAAUAGCGUAUAUUAAAGUUGUUGCAGUUAAAAAGCUCGUAGUUGAAUUUCGGGGUCAGUAGGUUGGUCGUGCCACCGGUACGUACUGGUCUCACUGAUUCCUCCUUCCUGAUGAGCUGUAAUGCCAUUAAUUUGGUGUUGCAGGGAAUCUGGACUGUUACUUUGAAAAAAUUAGAGUGUUUAAAGCAGGCUAACGCUUGAAUACAUUAGCAUGGAAUAAUGAAAUAGGACGUUCGAUCCUAUUUUGUUGGUUUCUAGGAUUGACGUAAUGAUUAAUAGGGAUAGUUGGGGGCAUUAGUAUUCAAUUGUCAGAGGUGAAAUUCUUGGAUUUAUUGAAGACUAACUACUGCGAAAGCAUUUGCCAAGGAUGUUUUCAUUAAUCAAGAACGAAAGUUAGGGGAUCGAAGACGAUCAGAUACCGUCGUAGUCUUAACCAUAAACUAUGCCGACUAGGGAUCGGAUGAUGUUAAUUUUUAAUGACUCAUUCGGCGUACCCG
rnacentral:rRNA from 1 species